UACGUAGGGUGCAAGCGUUGUCCGGAAUUAUUGGGCGUAAAGAGCUCGUAGGCGGUCUGUCGCGUCGGCUGUGAAAACCCGAGGCUCAACCUCGGGCCUGCAGUCGAUACGGGCAAGCUAGAGUACGGCAGGGGAGACUGGAAUUCCUGGUGUAGCGGUGAAAUGCGCAGAUAUCAGGAGGAACACCGGUGGCGAAGGCGGGUCUCUGGGCAGUAACUGACGCUGAGGAGCGAAAGCGUGGGGAGCGAACAGG
rnacentral:rRNA from 1 species